rnacentral:rRNA from 1 species
UACGUAGGGUGCGAGCGUUGUCCGGAUUUAUUGGGCGUAAAGAGCGUGUAGGCGGCCAGGUAGGUCUGGUGUGAAAACUCGAGGCUUAACCUCGAGAUGUCAUCGGAAACCAUUUGGCUAGAGUCCGGAAGAGGAAAGUGGAAUUCCUGGUGUAGCGGUGAAAUGCGCAGAUAUCAGGAAGAACACCAAUGGCGAAAGCAGCUUUCUGGGACGGUACUGACGCUGAGACGCGAAAGCGUGGGGAGCGAACAGG